ACAAAGGCGCACACACACAGGCACACACAGGCACAGACAUGCACACACACAGGCGCACACACGUAAACACACACAGAGGCACACACAAAGGUGUACACACACAGGCACACACGGGCACAUACACAGGUGCACACACAGGCACACAUACACAGGUGCGCACACACACAGGCGCACACACAUAGGUGCACACGCACACAGGCGGGUACACACAGGCACACACAUACAGGUGCACACGUACACACAGGCAUGCACACACAGGUGCACACACACAGGCACACACACAGGUGCACACACAUGCAGGCGCACACACAGGCACACACACAGGCACACACACAGGCGCGCACACAGGCACACACACAGGUGCGCACACACACACACAGGCACACACACACAGGUGCGCAAACACACAGGUGCGCACACACACAGGUGCACACGUUUAGUUGACUUUUU
rnacentral:lncRNA from 10 species